AAUAGAUACCCAGGUAGUCCACGCCGUAAACGAUGGAUACUAGCUGUUUGAGCGCAAGUUUGAGUGGCUAAGCGAAAGUGAUAAGUAUCCCACCUGGGGAGUACGGGCGCAAGCCUGAAACUCAAAGGAAUUGACGGGGGCCCGCACAAGCGGUGGAGCAUGUGGUUUAAUUCGAUGAUACGCGAGGAACCUUACCAGGGCUUAAAUGUAGAUUGACGUAUUUGGAAACAGAUAUUUCUUCGGACAAUUUACAAGGUGCUGCAUGGUUGUCGUCAGCUCGUGCCGUGAGGUGCCAGGUUAAGUCCUAUAACGAGCGCAACCCCUGUUGUUAGUUGCCAGCGAGUAAUGUCGGGAACUCUAGCAAGACUGCCAGUGUAAACUGUGAGGAAGGUGGGGAUGACGUCAAAUCAUCACGGCCCUUACGUCCUGGGCCACACACGUGCUACAAUGGCCGGUACAGAGAGCAGCCACUUAGCGAUAAGGAGCGAAUCUAUAAAAGCCGGUCACAGUUCGGAUCGGAAGUCUG
rnacentral:rRNA from 1 species